UACAGAGGUCUCAAGCGUUGUUCGGAUUCAUUGGGCGUAAAGGGUGCGUAGGCGGCGCGGUAAGUCGGAUGUGAAAUCUCGGAGCUUAACUUCGAAACUGCAUUCGAUACUGCCGUGCUUGAGGACUGGAGAGGAGACUGGAAUUUACGGUGUAGCGGUGAAAUGCGUAGAUAUGUGGAGGAAUACCGAUGGCGAAGGCAGCCCCCUGGGAUAACACUGACGCUCAUGCACGAAAGCGUGGGGAGCAAACAGG
rnacentral:rRNA from 1 species